GGUGUCUGGCUUAAGUGCCAUAACGAGCGCAACCCUCUCCUUAGUUGCCAUCAGGUUAAGCUGGGCACUCUGGGGACACUGCCACCGUAAGGUGUGAGGAAGGUGGGGAUGACGUCAAAUCAGCACGGCCCUUACGUCCG
rnacentral:rRNA from 1 species